AGGUCUUACCUGAACUGGUUCCCAGAUUGCAUAGCUACAUUGGAUAACAGACGUUCUUCUGUCUGGACUGUUGUAGAAGUUGAACUUUACCAGUUUGAAGGUGUACAACUGUGCAAGUAUUGAACAUCAGCUUGAAAUGCAAUGUGACCUAAAAGACAGUAUAAUAAUGGACAGAUAAAAGUCGUCUCCUGAAACAACUGAGACAAAUCUACCUAAAUUUGGCCACACUCAUCAUUAGGGUUCUCUGGUCGUAAGAACCUGUUGGCCACACACAUAAAGAUUUUCAUUGAUCCUGCUUUCAGCUAAAUAUCAGAAAAAUUAAGAACAAAGGAAAAUAUGCUGAAACUGUACAGUCACCGGUCAGGAUUAUUUCAGAAGUGAAAUUAUAAUACAAUUUAUUUUACUUGUUAAUUCCUUUGAUUUGUAAUUUUAAACAACACACAGAGGCUUUGCAUUAUUGUUUUACAAGAGAGACACCAAAAGAUGCGGUCAACAUUUAUCAUUUUUAUCAAAAUACGCCCAGGACAAACCAUGGAUACACUUAACUUGAAAUAUGGUGCUUUCAUGCCAAAAUUGCCUGGAAGUAAAAGAAAUAAAGAACCAUUCAUGUCAGCAAUCAGGGGAUAAGAUGAAAGAAUGCAGAAUAAGGCAGGAGUGAAAGGAAGAGAAAGCUAGGCAUCAGUAAAGAAACAGAUCAAUUUAUAAUAUGUAAUAAUUCCAUCUGAAUAUAACAAACAUUGCACAUGCUAUGAAGAUUUAUUCACAUGUAUACUAUGAUUUGUAGUUAUAUUUUAUUGUAUGUAUUUGAAAUAUUAAAAGUACAUGUAUUUUACUUUAGAAAAGUAUUUUAAUUUUUAUAUUUUGCUGUGGAGAAUAUCAAAGAAAUUUAGAAAAACAUAAUUAAAGAUAGUUUCUUCCAUAUUUUCUGUGACAAAAAAAAAUGUGCAAAUUACGAAAAUUAAAUGAGGCUAAAUUAGUGAAUAUUUUUGAGUUUGAGUUUUUUUUCAUUCCUAUUUUAAAAUUUCAUUGGCAUUUGAAAUAAUGAGUUGAAACUAGUUUUUAUCAAUUAUUUUGUUUUCAAGAUGUACAACAGUAGAGAAGGUUAAGGUUUUGUGUACAAUAGUUUACUAUGAUGUAAUGGUCAAAUAAACUUGAAACUUUGUACUUUCAAGUGUUCAUUUAAGUCAGUGUUUUUUAAACAAUUACAAAUAAGUUACUGAACAUGGAAAUCUGAUUGUGGAAGCAGAGUAUAAUGUGUUAUGGACACAUAUAUAUAUAUAUCUCAAUCCCAUAGAGCAUCGCCCUCCUCACCAGCCUCUCAGUAAUGGCAUAUUGACUUUGAAAAUUUCCUUUGUUUACACUGAAAUAUUUGUGAUAAGUCCACAUUUAAGGAGAACCACUAAAAGUAGGUCAGGGAUAAUUUAUAUGCAGUUGAAUAUGCUUUUGGACAAUGCAUGUGCUUAGGGAUUUUAAUAAUUCUGAACCCUAAAUCAUGGUUUUAUAACUUACAAUCUUUUGCAGUUUUCUGUUUAUAUGUUAAAGUUUAUGCUUAGGCCAGUUUAAUAUCGACCACUUAUAAAUAGGAUUUAG